rnacentral:tRNA from 2 species
GGAUCUAUAGCUCAGUCGGUAGAGCAACGGCCUUUUAAGCCGCUGGUCGUGGGUUCGAAUCCCACUGGAUCCACCA